rnacentral:rRNA from 1 species
CCCUUAGAUGUUCUGGGCAGCACGCGCGCUACAAUGGUCUUCGCAAACGGAUGCAUUCUCGAAGGAGAAUGCCAAUCUUGGAAUCUAUGCCUUGGUCGGGACAGUUGCUUGCAAUUUUUCGACUCGAACCAGGAAUUCGUAAUCGUGAUUCAUCACAUCACGAUGAAUACGUCCCUGCCCUUUGUACACACCGCCCGUCGCUCCUACCGAUCGAAGGGUUAGGUGAAUUGUUUUGAUCGAUAAGAUUUGACUAUGGUCAACUCUCGUUGUGAAAUUCUGUGAAUCUGACUGUUUAGAGGAAGGAAAAGUCGUAACA